AUUGAACGCUGGCGGCAGGCCUAACACAUGCAAGUCGAACGAGUGGCGGACGGGUGAGUAAUGUCUGGGAAACUGCCUGAUGGAGGGGGAUAACUACUGGAAACGGUAGCUAAUAACGCAUACCAUCGGAUGUGCCCAGAUGAGAUUAGCUAGUAGGUGGGGUAACGGCUCACCUAGGCGACGAUCCCUAGCUGGUCUGAGAGGAUGACCAGCCACACUGGAACUGAGACACGGUCCAGACUCCUACGGGAGGCAGCAGUGGGGAAUAUUGGACAAUGGGCGAAAGCCUGAUCCAGCCAUGCCGCGUGUAUGAAGAAGGUCUGCGGAUUGUAAAGCACGUUAAGUUGGGAGGCGUUACCAACAGAAUAAGCACCGGCUAACUUCGUGCCAGCAGCCGCGGUAAUUC
rnacentral:rRNA from 1 species